GUGGGGAAUAUUGCACAAUGGGGGAAACCCUGAUGCAGCCAUGCCGCGUGUGUGAAGAAGGCCUUCGGGCUGUAAAGCACUUUCAGCGAGGAGGAAAGGUCAGUAGCUAAUAUCUGCUGGCUGUGACGUUACUCGCAGAAGAAGCACCGGCUAACUCCGUGCCAGCAGCCGCGGUAAUACGGAGGGUGCAAGCGUUAAUCGGAAUUACUGGGCGUAAAGCGCACGCAGGCGGUUGGAUAAGUUAGAUGUGAAAGCCCCGGGCUCAACCUGGGAAUUGCAUUUAAAACUGUCCAGCUAGAGUCUUGUAGAGGGGGGUAGAAUUCCAGGUGUAGCGGUGAAAUGCGUAGAGAUCUGGAGGAAUACCGGUGGCGAAGGCGGCCCCCUGGACAAAGACUGACGCUCAGGUGCGAAAGCGUGGGGAGCAAACAGGAUUAGAUACCCUAGUAGUCC
rnacentral:rRNA from 1 species